GCCAGUGUGGCACAGUGGUUUGAGUGCGGGACUACAACUCUGGAGACCAAGGUUGGAUUUCCAGCUCAGCCA